rnacentral:rRNA from 1 species
UGCCCAGACUCCUACGGGAGGCAGCAGUGGGGAAUAUUGCACAAUGGGGGGAACCCUGAUGCAGCGACGCCGCGUGGGUGAAGGAGUAUUUCGGUAUGUAAAGCCCUAUCAGCAGGGAAGAACAAUGACGGUACCUGACUAAGAAGCACCGGCUAAAUACGUGCCAGCAGCCGCGGUAAUACGUAUGGUGCAAGCGUUAUCCGGAUUUACUGGGUGUAAAGGGAGCGCAGGCGGCGCGUUAAGCCUGGUGUGAAAGCCCGCGGCCCAACCGCGGGACUGCAUUGGGAACUGGCGCGCUGGAGUGCCGGAGGGGUAGGCGGAAUUCCUGGUGUAGCGGUGAAAUGCGUAGAUAUCAGGAGGAACACCGGUGGCGAAGGCGGCCUGCUGGACUGCGACUGACGUUGAGGCCCGAAAGCGUGGGGAGCAAACAGGAUUAGAUACCCCGGUAU